rnacentral:rRNA from 1 species
UACGUAGGGUGCAAGCGUUAAUCGGAAUUACUGGGCGUAAAGCGUGCGCAGGCGGUUAUGUAAGACAGGUGUGAAAUCCCCGGGCUUAACCUGGGAACUGCAUUUGUGACUGCAUAGCUAGAGUACGGUAGAGGGGGAUGGAAUUCCGCGUGUAGCAGUGAAAUGCGUAGAUAUCGGGAGGAAUACCUAUAGCGAAAAGCAGGUCUCUGGGCCAUCACUGACGCUGAGCUGCGAAAGCUAGGGGAGCAAACAGG